rnacentral:rRNA from 1 species
UACGAAGGGGGCUAGCGUUGUUCGGAAUUACUGGGCGUAAAGCGCACGUAGGCGGAUGUUUAAGUCGGGGGUAAAAUCCCAGGGCUCAACCCUGGAACUGCCUUCGAUACUGGACGUCUCGAGUCCGAGAGAGGUGAGUGGAAUUCCGAGUGUAGAGGUGAAAUUCGUAGAUAUUAGGAAGAACACCAGUGGCGAAGGCGGCUCACUGGCCCGGUACUGACGCUGAGGCGCGAAAGCGUGGGGAGCAAACAGG